rnacentral:rRNA from 1 species
GACGAACGCUGGCGGCGUGCCUAAUACAUGCAAGUCGGGCGAAGUUUUUCUGGUGCUUGCACUAGAAAAACUUAGCGGCGAACGGGUGAGUAACACGUAAAGAACCUGCCUCAUAGACUGGGACAACUAUUGGAAACGAUAGCUAAUACCGGAUAACAGUAUUUCUCGCAUGAGAGAUAUUUAAAAGUUGGUUAUGCUAACACUAUGAGAUGGCUUUGCGGUGCAUUAGCUAGUUGGUGGGGUAAAGGCCCACCAAGGCGACGAUGCAUAGCCGACCUGAGAGGGUGAUCGGCCACACUGGGACUGAGACACGGCCCAGACUCCUACGGGAGGCAGCAGUAGGGAAUCUUCCGCAAAGGGCGAAAGCCUGACGGAGCAACGCCGCGUGAGUGAAGAAGGAUUUCGGUUCGUAAAGCUCUGUUGUUAGGGAAGAAUGGAUAUGUAGUAACUAUACAUGUAAGAGACGGUACCUAACCAGAAAGCCACGGCUAACUACGUG